rnacentral:rRNA from 1 species
CUCCUACGGGAGGCAGCAGUGAGGAAUAUUGGUCAAUGGACGAAGUCUGAACCAGCCAUGCCGCGUGCAGGAUGACGGCUCUAUGAGUUGUAAACUGCUUUUGUAUUAGGGUAAACCUUAGUACGUGUACUAAGCUGAAAGUAUAAUACGAAUAAGGAUCGGCUAACUCCGUGCCAGCAGCCGCGGUAAUA